GAACGCUGGCGGCGUGCCUAACACAUGCAAGUCGAACGGAGUGAUGCUUUCGAAAGAAUCACUAGUGGCGGACGGGUGAGUAACGCGUGGGCAACCUGCCUCAUACAGGGGGAUAGCAGUUGGAAACGACUGAUAAUACCGCAUAAGCGCACAGCUCCGCAUGGAGCAGUGUGAAAAAACUCCGGUGGUAUGAGAUGGACCCGCGUCUGAUUAGCUUGUUGGCAGGGUAACGGCCUACCAAGGCGACGAUCAGUAGCCGGCCUGAGAGGGUGAACGGCCACAUUGGGACUGAGACACGGCCCAAACUCCUACGGGAGGCAGCAGUGGGGAAUAUUGCACAAUGGGGGGAACCCUGAUGCAAGCGACGCCGCGUGAAGGAAGAAGUAUUUCGGUAUGUAAACUUCUAUCAGCAGGGAAGAUAAUGACGGUACCUGACUAAGAAGCCCCGGCUAACUACGUGCCAGCAGCUGC
rnacentral:rRNA from 1 species